rnacentral:tRNA from 1 species
AAUUAAGUCAGCUAUUAAAGCUAAUGAGUUCAUACCUCAUAAAAGAUUAUAUAACUUCUCCAUCU